rnacentral:misc_RNA from 1 species
GUGAAUCAUCGAAUCUUUGAACGCAAAUUGCGCUUCCUGGUAUCCCGGGAAGUAUGCCUGUUUGAGGGUCAGUAUUAACAAAAAAUCGGUUUGGUUGCAAAUUGUGACGUUUCCGGAGUUUGGGCUUAUCUUAACUUUUUUGGUUAAGGGGCUUAAAAUUGACCUUUUUUGCGCAUUUUUAGACGUACAUAAAUUUUUUUUUUUUUCUUUUUUUUUUAUUCCCAAAUUUUUUUUAGAUGUGUU